CGCCUGGCCGCGGUGACCGGGACGCCGCCGUGGUACCGACGGCCGCCGUCCCGACGCUCCUCUCAUGUCAUGUCAACCGUCUGUCCGCCACGAGUUUGACACCUAGAGCGUCCCGGGACGACCCGCGGAUUUUCCACCACCGUUUUUUAUUACCCCCUUUCGCCUGCUUCCUCCCUUGCGUCGUUUCGUGAUUCGCGUAUUCGAUUUAUUCACCGCGGCAAGUCUGAGACGAUCUUUCCAAGACGGUGUCUCGAUCUUAGUUCGGUGGCUCGUUUUCUACGUCUAUCGACGAGUUGAUUGGUGUACUUUUUCGUUCCGUGGUGCUGGUGAAAGAAGAUCGUGCAGCUGCGACGCGUUGCGACGGCACCGAGCGUCGUUUGCUCGUAAUACUCGCCGAGUGGCCGAGAGGGGUUUGUUGUUCCAAGGCUCUACGAAACAACAAACUGGCGUAGCCGUCGAGAAGUCAAAGUUUCGCGGGGCCUGGAAAAUCAGGUGCAUCCACGGCCGGGUCACGUCCGAAAAACACCGACCGCCUUUUGUACGUACACGGGCCAGGGCGAUGAAAAAAUAACGAAGACGCGAAUCAUGGGCGCGCGUUAACGACGGGCAUACGCAAAAAGGAGAUACGCUGGGUGGAUGCGUAAGUAUUUAUGAAGGAGGAACAGUUGAACGAUGAGUAAACUCGAACCAACACGUUCCUCUAAAUACAAUAGACAAAGGCUUGCAUUUGAACUAAGCUGACAGCAAACUGUGUUACAAGAUUACCCCUUCAACGCAUACACUCUUAAAUUGUGAAACUCAUAUAUGCAUCUGUUAAAUCGAAUUAAAAUCUAAAUAUUAAUUUAAAUAAUGAUUUUACAAUCCUUCAGUUUAAUUCCUUUAAUAUUAAUUUUACAAUCCUUCAGCUUUUAAUUCCUGUUUAUCGAACCUCAUUCUAAAAUCACUAGUCUUCUCGGAAGUAGAAAAAUUGCAAAUAUUCUCGAGUCUUGAAACGGCUCUAAAGCAGCUGCUCUAUCGAACGUCCUUAACAUUAUUUAUCGGACUUACUUGGAGUUCCCUCAGAGUACAAAGACAAAUCGUGGGAGGGUUCCGCGCGGUGUACAGUAUCGAACACACCGUUUACCGGUUAAAAAGUUUGCGCAAACGAUUCGCGGGGUCUGGCCUGGCAGACAUCGUCGUCGAGCAAUUGUGCUCUAUUGAUCCUGUCAGCGACUCGGUUAUUACUCGCAAAUAUUUACCGAUUUGCCGCGAUGACAAACAAACGACGUGAGCUGCGAUUCGACGAGGCAAGAAAAUGCAACAUUACAUAAAAGAGAUGUAACCUGAAUAAAUAUUGAAAAUGUAUAAGUGCUUGUUAAAUAAGAAAACUCCAUUUUUGGGACAACGAAUGGGCAUAUGAAUUAGUAUGAAAAUCUGCAGCACUCAUUAUCGGUUCCCACAAAACGCGAGGCGAGAAGUAUCGUGAUCGAGCGUGAGCCUCGCCCCCGGCGCACGAUCCCCGCAACGAAAUUACACGGGGAUGAAAACAGAGGGAUGGACGUAAGUGGAUGCAGGACGAAAUUGAGUCACUUAAAAAACGAUACACCGCGUGUGCUUUAUCGUGCUCGAGGCGACGCAGACCGAGGUCCCCGAAGGAGUCACGUGCUGUGCGUGCCUCGUCAGGGUUUUCCCAGAUUUGUAACCCCCGGAAUGGACCGUCGGUCUAUCCACGAGGAUCCAGCCACCCCCUUCCCGAUCGGCACAGCUAAAAAUAAUAGACUGGAAUUCCGGCGUGAUUAGGCGAGCUGCCGAGUUUCUCAUCUCUUUUCAUUAUUAAACAAUUUGGUUUCGUACGAAAAAGAAACGCAAGUUUUUCAUCCUAAUUUAUACAGCACUAUUCGUUUAAUACUAUUUGUGAGUGACAACUGUAAUUUAGGUAAUUGCAUCCCGUAGAGACCGUUCAAGUGUUAAUACAUAGAUGUGCAUUUUUAAAACGGCAAACAGCGAUGAUGGUGCCUUGUAAACUUGCGGUUCAAGAGGGACUAGGGUUCUUCCGGAUCAGGAAAAUUGGUUUUGUCCCGAUUAUGACGGUGCUUAGUGCGCCUCAUGCAAAUGUUAUGACAACGACUUACGAAGUCACGAACUGACAAUAAGAUUUAAGAUCGUUCGAAAAUCUGGGAACCACGGAUCGGUCGUGUAUUACGAAUAGAAUUUUUCUGAGUUUCUGCGACGUCUCGGAUCGACGUGCAUCGAGCUUAAGCAAGUGCCUCAGAAGAACCGUUCGUAAUUAUCUCAAUCGACGAAAUGACAAAAACGAUUAUACAAGACGUUAUAACGAAUUUGAUUUUCAACUUAGGAGGCUAGACUCCAGGAUAAAAUAAAAUGUCAAUAUGUAAUUGAAAAACACAGAGACUUUACGAACAAUGAACAUAUUUUCUCCAAAAAAGUUGACAAUCUUAAAUGACACGGCGAUGACAAAAAUAAAUAUUGACAAGAUGCAACUGAUACGUAACAGCGAUACGAAACGACGUAAUGACGCUGUUUUCUGUCAUAUCUCUAACAUUUCUGUCAUAUCUCUAACAAAGCAGACGAUUAUUCUCGCGAAAUCGCAACCCCGUGAGUCAUCAUGGAACAGAAUUCACAAAAACACCAUAGGAAAACAUCGUAACACAAAACACGAGUCAUUGAUAAACUAUGGAACGGUCCCUGAAGAAUAGGGAAGAAGGCCGUAAAUCGUGAGUGAGUCAAAAGCGUAUCAAAGGUCUCGGCCGAUAUCGCAACCUUCCGAGGGUAACGAACGUUUUUACGUAUUCUUCGCCGGACUGGGUGAUCAAUUAGUCACCAGGAUACGGACAGAAAUCCUGCUGUUUUCCUACUAGCACUAUCUUAUUUGACACCGAAGUUCUACGUCUCGUUAGUCACUAAAUUGGGAGAACUGUCUAGUAAACUCGAGGCGCUCGAACUUCUGUGAUCGCCUAUCGCUAUUAUCACACGUUUCAUUAUACGCAGCUUUACGAAAAGCGCAUCGGACGAUUAUCGUCGAAGCUACCGCCUUUGUAACGUGAUUCCACGUUCCACCCACGUCCGGCGGCCACGCAAUCGAGAGCAGAACGGAGUGGGAUCGAUAUUUUCGCGGGGGCAGCGGCCCGUGGGAGUACAGUACCGCGGAUAAUUGAAAACCGUUGGAAAAUCGUGCGAGUCAUCGGGCUGACGGAACGUAGGCGUAGGUGCCCCGGCGUGCACAAGGGGCUGAUAUUAUUAAAAUUGACUGGCAGUCGAGAAAUCGCCGGCAAUCCGCGGCGUUUGAUCGGGCAACACCUGCACCCUCCCUCGCCCAUCGAUCGCUACGCUUCUUUCGCGUUACACCCUUCGUUAAUUAUACACGAUUAACGGAAGCAUAGCUCGAACCCGAGAAUCGACUGUUCUGUGUCGUCUACGAUUACUCAUACAUCGUUUUCGUUAAAGUAAUAAGUAUCGGAAAAUGGAUAGAAGAGUAAAUAAAAAGAUUUUCUAUACAUAAUUAACGUGAAACUUUGUUGCUGAUAGAAUCCGCGUCGAGGGACACGUGGAACUGUUUUUAAGAGAAGGGACGCGCGAUGAACGUGUCUAUUUUUCACCAAUUAAAUGGAAAUGUGUUUUCGAGCAGCCGGUGGAAGUAGCUGCGACGAGCCAGGGGGACAAACGGAACGAUGAAAAUCAAACGUUUUUCGGGUCGGUCCGAUGGCCUUGCUAAAAACUGUUACCUUUCGCGGGGAACGUUUGCACGGAAACGAUGAAACGGAAAUUUAACGAAAGAUCGGUAGCCGAGAGGGGCUGAGGGUGCGCAUACAACCACCCCGCUCGGUCUUGUUUGUACAAUCGAUUCCGGAGCGUGCUGCUUUUAUACUUUAUACGUACGCGCGCACCGCGCGAUGAUAGAGGAUCCUCUUCUUCCUCGCUGGAAAAUAUCGAGGAAAAUCUUCCCUCGUUCGUUGCAACAAAAACUUUAUUAUAUUUGUCGCGAUUUUAAUUACCCUCUCGUUGUCCCUGCCAAUUCUCGCCCGUUAACAGAAUAACAGUGAAUGAAGCCUAGUCAACGCUAAUUAUUGUUCCAACUAUACAGAGAAAAUCGAAUCGAAGAAAUCGCACAUUCUAGCUGGUCACUCUACAGAGAGUGACUGGACACUUCAGUUAUGAUUUCUGAUUAGCCGCGAAACAGUGAAUCUAAAUCGGAAACAGGGAUAAAAAAAUAUAAGUUCAUGUUCAUCUAUUAAUUUUGACAUUUCGCGUUUUGAAUACACAACUUCCGGUUUAGGUAUAUUUUUAUGUAGAUGUUAUCCCUGGAGAAUCAGUUGGAGCGAAACGAACAUGAAAAUUCAUAAUAUACAAGUCGAUCGAUUAAAGACACGGCACGGGGAAAUAAAAGCUCAACGAUGCGAAACUAACGAAGAUGAAACGUUAAAUAUGUUCGGUAUUAGCGAUCAAAUAUUUAUAAAGAAACGUUUACUGGGACGUACGUACAUACGUAUGUAUAGAGCACAGGCUUUGGAUCGAUGUUUGUACUGGUAUAGACCUGUUUUCUUAACGUGUUAGGAACAUCAUCAUACUCCUUCCGCUCGCUUCGCAAUUUUGCUUUAAUUAAACUACUUCGACGCUCGUUCGAAUCAAUUACUAAAUGAAUCGAAUAUGUCAGCUAUCUUUGAAUAUGUUCAAUUAAUCGAACUAAUUGAAUUAUACUAUGACCUGUUUAUUUCGGCAGGUUUUUAAAGACUGUACAAUAGGAGUCACAUUUUUCACAGUUCAGGCGAAAGUAAUAAAUCUCUGCACCAUUUUCUUAGGUAAGUCAUCCGAAAACAAAAAGGUAUGAAUACACAUAAAUUACAACCACUUACAAUUGUACGUCACGUCAACAAUUAAACAACUUGUACAAAUAUGAUCAUCCGUUCCAUCGUCUUCGAGAUUGAAAGGAAAAUGGCGGUAAUAAAACUACAAAUCCAGGACCCUUCUUCGGGUCUGUCCUUUUGUAAUCGUUUCUAGCUCUGGCUUGGACCGUGCACAACGGCACGUUGGCGACGUAUUAUCGAUCAAGACUGUACUCCGGGAUUAUUUGCUUCCGUGGGAGUGCCCUUGAGUAAAAUUAGCCUACGAUACCUAUGGUAAACGUCGAAAACAACGCCCGCUGAUCUCGAACAUAUGGACGGAUAAUCGCUGCAAUAAGAGAUACGUACCGACGGUUCCGCAUAAUAAAACAUCGGUACCUGGCGCGUCAGGUAGCGACGAGUCCGUCGACGCUGCACCCCGAACGGAAAUAGAAAAUCCCGUCGUAAAACUAUAAUCGAUUUACGACAGUGAUGCUUUAGCACCCCGCCGACCCUUUGAGGGAAACAAAAACAACGAGAGCUGCAGAUUUUUCUUUCAAGUUCUGCCACAGGCGAUGAUGCAACGCGGAGGCUGGCAAUAAAAAGAGGAAAACUGUUUUUACGAUUGUGUGGCCAGGCACAGGAUUGCUAACACGAAGACCACUCUCGCGGAUGACACCGAUACAUGUGAGAACUGCACUACGGAUUUUUAUCCAUUUAUAAGGCAAACAAGUACACCCAAAGUAAACUGUGUACAAUACAAGAACACAUUGGAUAAUAAAAUAUUAAAACUAUUAUACGUGAUACGUCGUUUAAUCUGUAAUGAGGAGGAAUCGAGCAUUCCGCGUGAUACGUUUCUCGAUUUCUGGCUAAACCAGAAACAAUGUUUUGGUAUCAUCGACGGUAUCCAUAUACGUAGGUAUCGAGCCUUUUACCGUUUCAGGCCGUAGAACGCUGUGCCAGCGAAGACAAACAGCCCUACGCAAGAAUAACAUUUUUCGCGUUCCGCUAAUCACAACACUUGGAGCGACUGUACACAGGCGACGAUAGGAAAACAUAGUCAGAAUUCGAUGGAAAAAUUCUCCACCCUAUCGGUGGUCCCGUGCGAAACCGAGUCUGCUUCUCCCAAAAC